CAGCAAUGCAAUCAUUCUCUGCGAUCAUUAUCUCUCUAGCUUUUUUCAGCAUUGCAAAUUCGUUGGCAGCAAGAUUAUUAGAACCCCGCCGAUUGGGGUCGAGCGAUGAUUUUAUUAAAACAUCAUGUGAGGUUACAAGGUAUCCAGACCUAUGUUACCUAAGUCUCUCAGCUUAUGAUAGUACCAUCCAGGAUGACCCUACGCAGCUGGCCAAUGCAGCUCUCAACUUCACCCUGCAAAGUGCUGAAUCCACC
rnacentral:misc_RNA from 1 species